AGAGUUUGAUCAUGGCUCAGAAUCAACGCUGGCGGCGCGCUUAACACAUGCAAGUCGCACGAGAAAGGGGCAACCUGAGUAAAGUGGCGUACGGGUGAGUAACACGUGGAUCAUCUACCUCUUGGUGGGGAAUAACCCUGGGAAACCGGGGCUAAUACCGCAUAAGCCUGCAAAGGGAAAGCAGCAAUGCGCCGAGAGAG
rnacentral:rRNA from 1 species